rnacentral:misc_RNA from 1 species
GAUGAAGAACGCAGCGAAAUGCGAUAAGUAAUGUGAAUUGCAGAAUUCAGUGAAUCAUCGAAUCUUUGAACGCACAUUGCGCCCGCCAGUAUUCUGGCGGGCAUGCCUGUUCGAGCGUCAUUUCAACCCUCAAGCCCCAGCGGCCUGGUGUUGGGGACCGGCGACCUCGCCCGAGCCCGCCCUCCGGGGCGCGUGCCCGGUGCGUCCGCCGCCCCCGAAAUGAAUUGGCGGCCUCGUCGCGGCCUCCUCUGCGUAGUAGCACAACCUCGCAAGCGGGAGCGCGACGCGGCCACUGCCGUAAAACGCCCAACUUUUUUAGAGUUGACCUCGGAUCAGGUAGGGAUACCCGCUGAACUUAAGCAUAUCAAUAAGCGGAGGA